rnacentral:rRNA from 1 species
AUAUUGCGCAAUGGAGGGAACUCUGACGCAGCGACGCCGCGUGAGCGAUGAAGGUCUCCGGAUCGUAAAGCCCUGUCCUUGGGGAAGAAGGUCUUCGGACUUGACGGUUCCUAAGGAGGAAGCCCCGGCUAAAUACGUGCCAGCAGCCGCGGUAAUACGUAGGGGGCAAGCGUUGUCCGGGAUUAUUGGGCGUAAAGGGGGGGUAGGCGGCCUUUUAAGUCAGAUGUGAAAGCCCACGGCUUAACCGUGGGACUGCAUUUGAAACUGGAAGGCUUGAGUAUCGGAGAGGGUAGUGGAAUUCCCAGUGUAGCGGUGGAAUGCGUAGAUAUUGGGAGGAAAACCAGUGGCGAAGGCGACUACCUGGACGAAAACUGACGCUGAGGCACGAAAGCUAGGGGAGCAAAC